rnacentral:rRNA from 1 species
UAGAUACCCUGGUAGUCCACGCCCUAAACGAUGCGAACUGGAUGUUGGGGACACUUAGGUCUUCAGUAUCGAAGCUAACGCGUUAAGUUCGCCGCCUGGGAAGUACGGUCGCAAGACUGAAACUCAAAGGAAUUGACGGGGGCCCGCACAAGCGGUGGAGUAUGUGGUUUAAUUCGAUGCAACGCGCAGAACCUUACCUGGCCUUGACAUCCACGGAACUUUCCAGAGAUGGAUUGGUGCCUUCGGGAAC